AUAGUGGCGAACGGGUGAGUAACGCGUAAGUAACCUACCUCUAAGUGGGGGAUAGCUUCGGGAAACUGAAGGUAAUACCGCAUGUGGUGGACCGACAUAUGUUGGUUCACUAAAGCCGUAAGGCGCUUGGUGAGGGGCUUGCGUCCGAUUAGCUAGUUGGUGGGGUAAUGGCCUACCAAGGCUUCGAUCGGUAGCUGGUCUGAGAGGAUGAUCAGCCACACUGGGACUGAGACACGGCCCAGACUCCUACGGGAGGCAGCAGCAAGGAAUCUUGGGCAAUGGGCGAAAGCCUGACCCAGCAACGCCGCGUGAGGGAUGAAGGCUUUCGGGUUGUAAACCUCUUUUCAUAGGGAAGAAUAAUGACGGUACCUGUGGAAUAAGCUUCGGCUAACUACGUGCCAGCAGCCGCGGUAAUACGUAGGAAGCAAGCGUUAUCCGGAUUUAUUGGGCGUAAAGUGAGCGUAGGUGGUCUUUCAAGUUGGAUGUGAAAUUUCCCGGCUUAACCGGGACGAGUCAUUCAAUACUGUUGGACUAGAGUACAGCAGGAGAAAACGGAAUUCCCGGUGUAGUGGUAAAAUGCGUAGAUAUCGGGAGGAACACCAGAGGCGAAGGCGGUUUUCUAGGUUGUCACUGACACUGAGGCUCGAAAGCGUGGGGAGCGAACAGAAUUAGAUACUCUGGUAGUCCACGCCUUAAACUAUGGACACUAGGUAUAGGGAGUAUCGACCCUCUCUGUGCCGAAGCUAACGCUUUAAGUGUCCCGCCUGGGGAGUACGGUCGCAAGGCUAAAACUCAAAGGAAUUGAC
rnacentral:rRNA from 1 species